UAGCGAAGUGGCUAAACGCGGCGGACUGUAAAUCCGCUCCUUCGGGUUCGGUGGUUCGAAUCCACN
rnacentral:tRNA from 1 species